AUUGAACGCUGGCGGCAGGCCUAACACAUGCAAGUCGAGCGGCUCGCCGGACGGGGGAGUAAUGCCUAUGAAUCUGCCUGGUCGUGGGGGAUAGCGUCAGCAAACGGGCGCUAAUACUACUUCCUAUUACAUGAGCCUGUGGCGGAUUAGCUUGUUGGUGGGGUAAAGGCUUACCAAGGCGACGAUCCGUAACUGGUCUGAGAGGAUGAUCAGUCACACUGGAACUGAGACACGGUCCAGACUCCUACGGGAGGCAGCAGUGGGGAAUAUUGGACAAUGGGCGAAAGCCUGAUGCAGCCAUGCCGCGUGUGUGAAGAAGGUCUUCGGAUUGUAAAGCACUUUAAGUGGGGAGGCGUUACCAACAGAAUAAGCACCGGCUAACUCCGUGCCAGCAGCCGCGGUAAUAC
rnacentral:rRNA from 1 species